rnacentral:tRNA from 1 species
GCCGGGGUGGUGAAAUUGGUAGACACGAUGGAUUCAAAAUCCAUUGGCCGCGAGGCCGUGCCGGUUCAAGUCCGGCCCUCGGUACCA